rnacentral:rRNA from 1 species
CCUACGGGGGGCAGCAGUGGGGAAUAUUGGGCAAUGGGCGCAAGCCUGACCCAGCAACGCCGCGUGAAGGAAGAAGGCCUUCGGGUUGUAAACUUCUUUUGUCAGGGACGAAGAAAGUGACGGUACCUGACGAAUAAGCCACGGCUAACUACGUGCCAGCAGGCGCGGUAAUACGUAGGUGGCAAGCGUUAUCCGGAUUUACGGGGUGUAAAGGGCGUGUAGGGGGGAGUGUAAGUCGGACGGGAAAUUCCAGGGCUCAACCCUGGAACUGCGUUUGAAACUGUUCUUCUUGAGUGAUGGGGAGGCAAGCGGAAUGCCGUGUGUAGCGGUGAAAUGCGUAGAUAUACGGAGGAACACCAGUGGCGAAGGCAGCCUGCUGGACAUAUACUGACGCUGAGGCGCGAAAGCGUGGGGAGCAAACAGGAUUAGAUACCCCUGUAGUC